GAUGAACGCUGGCGGCGUGCCUAACACAUGCAAGUCGAGCGGCAGCGAGGGGUGCUUGCACCCUGUCGGCGAGCGGCGGACGGCUGAGUAACGCGUGGGAACGUGCCCCAAAGUGAGGAAUAACUGCCCGAAAGGGUAGCUAAUACCGCAUAUUAUCUUCGGAUCAAAGGAUUUAUCCGCUUUGGGAGCGGCUCGCGUCGGAUUAGGUAGUUGGUGAGGUAAUGGCUCACCAAGCCGACGAUCCGUAGCUGGUCUGAGAGGAUGACCAGCCAGACUGGAACUGAGACACGGUCCAGACUCCUACGGGAGGCAGCAGUGAGGAAUCUUCCACAAUGGGCGAAAGCCUGAUGGAGCAACGCCGCGUGCAGGAUGAAGGCCUUCGGGUUGUAAACUGCUUUUAUAAGUGAGGAAUAUGACGGUAACUUAUGAAUAAGGAUCGGCUAACUACGUG
rnacentral:rRNA from 1 species